rnacentral:rRNA from 1 species
CCUACGGGAGGCAGCAGUGGGGAAUAUUGCACAAUGGGCGCAAGCCUGAUGCAGCGACGCCGCGUGAGGGAUGACGGCCUUCGGGUUGUAAACCUCUUUCAGCAGGGACGAAGCGCAAGUGACGGUACCUGCAGAAGAAGCACCGGCCAACUACGUGCCAGCAGCCGCGGUAAUACGUAGGGUGCAAGCGUUGUCCGGAAUUACUGGGCGUAAAGAGCUCGUAGGCGGUUUGUCGCGUCGUCUGUGAAAACCAGCAGCUCAACUGUUGGCUUGCAGGCGAUACGGGCAGACUUGAGUAUUUCAGGGGAGACUGGAAUUCCUGGUGUAGCGGUGAAAUGCGCAGAUAUCAGGAGGAACACCGGUGGCGAAGGCGGGUCUCUGGGAAAUAACUGACGCUGAGGAGCGAAAGCGUGGGUAGCGAACAGGAUUAGAUACCCUGGUAGUCCACGCCGUAAACGGUGGGCGCUAGGUGUGGGUUUCCUUCCACGGGAUCCGUGCCGUAGCUAACGCAUUAAGCGCCCCGCCUGGGGAGUCGGCCGCAAGGCUAAAACUCAAAGGAUUGACGGCUGAGACGNGCGAGACGACGACGAGGGAGAGG